rnacentral:lncRNA from 1 species
CUCAAAAUUUUAAUUCCUUUAGUUUAGCUUAACCCCAUGCAUCUUAUACACACGGCGCACACUCUCACACUCCAUACAUUUAGCUAGUAAAUUACGUUAUAAACAAAAAAGCAAAAUAAAAAAGAUAAAUUACGUUAUCACUAGCUAUCCUAUAACCCACUUAGACUAAGUUUUGGAUUCUGGUUCGAAACGUAACAUCUUAAUUGAAAGGGCAUGGGCU